rnacentral:misc_RNA from 1 species
GAUGAAGAACGUAGCGAAAUGGGAUAAGUAAUGUGAAUUGCAGAAUUCAGUGAAUCAUCGAAUCUUUGAACGCAUCUUGCGCUCCUUGGUAUUCUGAGGAGCAUGCCUGUUUGAGUGUCAUUAAAUUCUCAACUACACUGACUUUGAAUUGGUGUGGCUUGGAUUUGGGGGGAAAAUUGUUGUGGGCUUUUUGUAUAGUCUGCUCCCCUGAAAUUGAUUAGCGGUACCUUUGUGGAACUGUCUACAGGUGUGAUAAUUAUCUACAUCUUAGACAUCUGCUGGAAUGCUGCUUUCUAAACCUUACUUGUAUUGACAAUCUUGACCUCAAAUCAGGUAGGACUACCCGCUGAACUUAAGCAUAUCAAUAAGCGGAGGA